CAAGAAUCGAGGCUAGCGGUGUCCAUUCCAUGGGCCACGUCUAGUCGCGCUCUCUACCUUGCCUACUGCACCGUUUGUUGCUUCCUGGCGGUGGGAUGCCGUCGCCAGGACCUUUCAAAAGCCAAGUAUAAGCAUUGAACCUCCUGACAUACACUAAAUCGUA
rnacentral:misc_RNA from 1 species